AUCCAGCUGUCGAGUCUCAAAUAGGACGAAACGCUUGUCAAACUGGAU
rfam:Schistosoma rodhaini strain Burundi genome assembly, scaffold: SROB_scaffold0001252